rnacentral:rRNA from 1 species
UACGUAGGGGCCUAGCGUUGUCCGGAAUUAUUGGGCGUAAAGAGCUCGUAGGCGGUUCGGCAAGUCGGAUGUGAAAUCUCCACGCUUAACGUGGAGGGGCCAUUCGAAACUGCUGUCACUCGAGUCCGGUAGGGGAGUGUGGAAUUCCCGGUGUAGCGGUGAAAUGCGCAGAUAUCGGGAGGAACACCAGUAGCGAAGGCGGCACUCUGGGCCGGUACUGACGCUGAGGAGCGAAAGCGUGGGGAGCGAACAGG